UACAGAGGGGGCAAGCGUUAUUCGGAAUUAUUGGGCGUAAAGGGCGCGUAGGCGGCUUUGCAAGUGACGGGUGAAAGCCCUCGGCUUAACCGAGGAACUGCCUGUCAGACUGUAAGGCUUGAGACCGGGAGAGGUGAGUGGAAUUCCCAGUGUAGCGGUGAAAUGCGUAGAUAUUGGGAGGAACACCAGUGGCGAAGGCGGCUCACUGGCCAAGAGCUGACGCUGAGGCACGAGAGCGUGGGGAGCGAACCGG
rnacentral:rRNA from 1 species